AGUGGAUGGGGAGCAACCUAGUUGUGCGUGUGUAAAGGUAGUGCCAAGAAAAGCGAUGAUCAUGUUGAAAAUCAAUUCCCGGUACCCGAAACCGACACAGGUGGGCAAGUAGAGAAUACUAAGGGGCGCGAGGUAACUCUCUCCAAGGAACUCGGCAAAAUGACCCCGUAACUUAGGGAGAAGGGGUGCCACCGAGAGGUGGUCGCAGUGAAGAGGCCCAGGCGACUGUUUAGCAAAAACAUAGGUCUCUGCAAACUCGAAAGAGGAGGUAUAGGGGCUGACGCCUGCCCAGUGCCGGAAGGUUAAAGAAGUUGGUCAGUUUUAGGAUGAAGCUAGCGACUGAAGCCCCGGUGAACGGCGGCCGUAACUAUAACGGUCCUAAGGUAGCGAAAUUCCUUGUCGGGUAAGUUCCGACCCGCACGAAAGGCGUAACGAUCUGGGCGCUGUCUCGGAGAGAGGCUCGGCGAAAUAGGAUUGUCUGUGAAGAUACGGACUACCUGCAUUUGGACAGAAAGACCCUAUGAAGCUUUACUGUAGCUUGGAAUUGGGUUCGGGCUUCCCUUGCGCAGCAUAGGUGGGAGGCGUAGAAGGUAUUCUUGUGGGGAUACUGGAGCCAACGGUGAGAUACCACUCUCAGGAGGCUAGAAUUCUAACUUAAUUAAGGACAGUUUCAGGUGGGUAGUUUGACUGGGGCGGUCGCCUCCAAAAAGGUAACGGAGGCGUACAAAGGUUCCCUCAGACUGGUUGGAAAUCAGUCGAAGAGUGCAAAGGCAGAAGGGAGCUUGACUGCGAGAAGUACAGUUCGAGCAGGGUGGAAACACGGUCUUAGUGAUCCGACGGUGCUGUGUGGAAGGGCCGUCGCUCAACGGAUAAAAGUUACUCUAGGAUAACAGGCUGAUCUCCCCCAAGAGUUCACAUCGACGGGGAGGUUUGGCACCUCGAUGUCGGCUCAUCGCAACCUGGGGCGGAAGUACGUCCCAAGGGUUGGGCUGUUCGCCCAUUAAAGCGGUACGUGAGCUGGGUUCAGAACGUCGUGAGACAGUUCGGUCCAUAUCCGAUGUAGGCGUGAGAAUAUUGAGAGGAGCCUUCCUUAGUACGAGAGGACCGGGAAGGACGCACCGCUGGUGUACCUGUUAUGAUGCCAAUUGUAAACGCAGGGUAGCCAAGUGCGGAGAGGAUAACCGCUGAAAGCAUCUAAGUGGGAAGCCCACCUCAAGAUGAGUAUUCUGGUGUAAGGUCACGGGAAGACGACCCGUAAAUAGGCACGAGGUGGAAGUGCAGAGAUGUAUGAAGCCGAAGUGUACUAAUAGACCGUCGGCUUG
rnacentral:rRNA from 1 species